rnacentral:rRNA from 1 species
AUUGAACGCUGGCGGCAGGCCUAACACAUGCAAGUCGAGCGAGCGGCGGACGGGUGCGUAAUGUCUGGGAAACUGCCUGAUGGCGGGGGAUAACUACUGGAAACGGUAGCUAAUACCGCAUACCAUCAGAUGUGCCCAGAUGGGAUUAGCUAGUCGGUGGGGUAACGGCUCACCUAGGCGACGAUCCCUAGCUGGGCUGAGAGGAUGACCGGCCACACUGGAACUGAGACACGGUCCAGACUCCUACGGGAGGCAGCAGUGGGGAAUAUUGGACAAUGGGCGAAAGCCUGAUGCAGCCAUGCCGCGUGUGUGAAGAAGGUCUUCGGGUUGUAAAGCACUGUCAGCGGGGAGGCGUUACCCGCAGAAGAAGCAACGGCUAACUCCGUGCCAGCAGCCGCGGUAAUAC